CUCAACUCACAGAAUGACAUCUCCCAAGUUCUCUCAGUAGCCUUUUUGAUCAGCUCUGCCUGCCUUUCCGUCACCAAGAUCCCCUAAUUUUACAAGCAGUCAGCUUUGUUUCUUGCUGAAAGCUAUUCUUUAUAGGAUGUAUGGGAAGUACGGCUAGACUGAGAAAAUGACAUUCAAGGCAUGCAAACAGAUGCCCUGUGCAAGGUGCUUCUUCCAGCUGCUCCUUAAGGUGGCCUUGUCACUGGUCUGCCUAGCCCACCAUUGUCUGUGACCUAAACACAUGACAUCUGCUCUGCCCACAAAUGGAUCUGCAAAUGUUGUUGCUCUGCUCCCAAUGGUGCCAUCAGUGAAGAAAUGUAUGCAAAAGAGACUGAAAUUCAUAAAGCCAGAGGCCAUGCUGACUGGAAUAUUCUGGGGAAUGUUAUAAAAAGGUACUUUUUCCAGUUGGAUGAUUGGUCUAUGUAGCUUAGUAUUAUCCCCAAUGACUACCAGUUCCUCUCCAAGAUUUAAGAAAUAUCUUUCCUAGCCCUGCUUCAAUGUACCAUAGAUUGAACCUGGCCUUUCUUCCUUGAGCAGAAGACUCUGCAAUAAUCCUGAAUUUUGUUUGGUAUAUUUGAGUGUACACAGGCAAGCAGCACAGAUUUCUCAUGCUGUGGAGUAAGCAUGUGAAUUAUGCUAAUCUACCACUAUACAGUUCCCCACCAUCACAAAAUUUACUGUGGAUAUCUAUGCCCUCCAUCACUCACAUCAUAAUUGUGGCUAAGAGUAAUAGCUGAUACCCAAAAGGCCUGAAAUACAUUUUCCGUGAUGAUAAGCCCUAUUGGGAAACAGCAACAUUCCUUUUUCCAAGAGAAAGCAAACAAGAUAAUAAUACAACAAUAUUAACCUUCUAAAGUUAUCCGAUUCUGAGUUCCCCACCUUUGGGACAAU
rnacentral:lncRNA from 1 species